rnacentral:sRNA from 2 species
GACCGGAAUAGUAAUAAUAUAGUGAGAGAAAAAAAGAGAGAGAUUCGACGGGGCAAAAUGUGUGGGGGGCCGUUGGCAGCGGAAUCCGGGGCAGGAAGAAGGCGGAUGUGGAAGGUGGACAACGGUUGACCAGGGACAGUCAACGACAACGGGCAAGCAACAGAGGGAAAACGACAAGGCCCGGCAGGCGGAGGUUUUAUUCUUCUACACAGCAGACGGCCAUCAUAGCAUAGAUUGCUAGGUUUAUCUUUUUCCUGGCUUACGAAAAACAAGAAGAGGAGGAAGAAGAUGGAAGAAGAAGAUGAAGAAGAAGAAAAGAAAGGACAAAUAGUGACCUGGUCAACGAGCUGUUUAAGUUCUAAUUUCUGCAGCUUCCCCAGUCAGAUUCUAUCUAUAUGUUUCCCUCUAGCUCGCUCGUUCGAAGCUCCCACGCCAAUCAACAUCUGCUUAGCUUCGAGGUUUAUUCUUAGCUGCGUCUGGUCUGAAGAUACGCAC